rnacentral:tRNA from 1 species
UAGCUCAUUGGUUAGAGCGUGGUGCUGAUAACACCAAGGUCACAGGUUCGACUCCCAU